ACCCAUGAUUACGACGUCAAGAUGCGCAACGUGAUGAAAUUCCUGGACGCGGGCGACAAGGUGAAGGUUACCUUGCGGUUCCGCGGUCGCGAAAUGGCCCACCAGGAUCUUGGUCUGGAACUGCUGAACCGCGUCAAGGAUGACGUGGGCGAGGCCGGCAAGGUCGAGGCGAUGCCCAAGCUGGAAGGCCGUCAGAUGGUGAUGAUGAUCGCCCCGCGCUGAUCACGUCCCACUGUCACAGGUUUCGAAACCGCGCGAUGCCUUCGCGCGGU
rnacentral:misc_RNA from 1 species